AGUGGCGCACGGGUGCGUAACGCGUGGGAAUCUGCCCUUAGGUACGGAAUAACUCAGAGAAAUUUGUGCUAAUACCGUAUGAUGUCGAAAGACCAAAGAUUUAUCGCCUAAGGAUGAGCCCGCGUAAGAUUAGCUUGUUGGUGAGGUAAAAGCUCACCAAGGCGACGAUCUUUAGCUGGUCUGAGAGGAUGAUCAGCCACACUGGGACUGAGACACGGCCCAGACUCCUACGGGAGGCAGCAGUGGGGAAUAUUGGACAAUGGGCGAAAGCCUGAUCCAGCAAUGCCGCGUGAGUGAUGAAGGCCUUAGGGUUGUAAAGCUCUUUUACCAGGGAUGAUAAUGACAGUACCUGGAGAAUAAGCUCCGGCUAACUCCGUGCCAGCAGCCGCGGUAAUACGGAGGGAGCUAGCGUUGUUCGGAAUUACUGGGCGUAAGGAGUACGUAGGCGGUGAUUCAAGUCAGAGGUGAAAGCCUGGAGCUCAACUCCAGAACUGCCUUUGAAACUAGAUCGCUAGAAUUAUGGAGAGGUUAGUGGAAUUCCGAGCGUAGAGGUGAAAUUCGUAGAUAUUCGGAAGAACACCAGUGGCGAAGGCGACUAACUGGACAUAUAUUGACGCUGAGGUACGAAAGCGUGGGGAGCAAACAGGAUUAGAUACCUGGUAGUCCACGCCGUAAACGAUGAUAACUAGCUGUUCGGGCU
rnacentral:rRNA from 1 species